UACGAAGGGGGCUAGCGUUGCUCGGAAUCACUGGGCGUAAAGCGCACGUAGGCGGCUUGUUAAGUCAGGGGUGAAAUCCUGGAGCUCAACUCCAGAACUGCCCUUGAUACUGGCGAGCUUGAGUUCGGGAGAGGUGAGUGGAACUGCGAGUGUAGAGGUGAAAUUCGUAGAUAUUCGCAAGAACACCAGUGGCGAAGGCGACUCACUGGCCCGAUACUGACGCUGAGGCACGAAAGCGUGGGGAGCAAACAGG
rnacentral:rRNA from 1 species